GCUACUAACCUUCACUUCAGAGGAGCAAGGAUUUUUCUUGCUGUCAUGGAGGAUCUACUAGCUAAAGGAAUGAAAAAUGCUGAAAAUGCACUUCUUUCUGGUUGUUCAGCUGGUGGACUGGCUGCCAUUUUGCAUUGUGAUAACUUCCGAGCUCUUCUACCUAUGGGUACUAAAAUAAAAUGCCUUUCAGAUGCUGGUUAUUUUAUCAAUGUGAAUGAUGUUUCUGGAGCACCACACAUACGAAACUUCUUCAGUCAGGUGGUUUCAUUGCAUGGAUCAGCAAAAAAUUUACCUUUUUCCUGUAUUUCGAGAUUAAACCCUGCAUUGUGUUUCUUCCCACAAUAUGUGGUGCAGCAAAUACGAACACCCCUUUUUGUUCUAAAUGCAGCAUAUGAUUCAUGGCAGAUUAAGAAUAUUUUGGCACCGAGCGUUGCUGAUCCUCGUAGCACCUGGA
rnacentral:misc_RNA from 1 species